rnacentral:lncRNA from 1 species
AUGGCACUCAUCUCACACGCUAGUGAAGUAAUGCUCAAAAUUCUCCAAGCCAGGCUUCAGCAAUAUGUGAACCGUGAACUUCCUGACGUUCAAGCUGGUUUUAGAAAAGGCAGAGGAACCAAAGAUCAAAUUGCCAACAUCUGCUGGAUCAUGGAAAAAGCAAGAGAGUUCCAGAAAAACAUAUAUUUCUGCUGUAUUGACUAUGCCAAAGCCUUUGACUGUGUGGAUCCCAAUAAACUGUGGAAAAUUCUGGAAAAGGUGGGAAUACCAGACCACCUGACCUGCCUCUUGAGAAACCUACAUGCAGGUCAGGAAGCAACAGUUAGAACUGGACAUGGAACAAUAGACUGGUUCCAAAUAGGAAAAGGAGUACGUCAAGGCUGUAUAUUGUCACCCUGCUUAUUUAACUUACAUGCAGAGUACAUCAUGAGAAACGCUGGACUGGAAGAAACACAAGCUGGAAUCAAGAUUGCCAGGAGAAAUAUCAAUAACCUCAGAUAUGCAGAUGACACCACCCUUAUGGCAGAAAGUGAAGAGGAACUAAAAAGCCUCUUGAUGAAAGUGAAAGAGGAGAGUGAAAAAGUUGGCUUAAAGCUCAACAUUCAGAAAACUAAGGUCAUGGCAUCUGGUCCCAUCACUUCAUGGGAAAUAGAUGGGGAAACAGUGUCAGACUUUAUUUUUCUAGGCUCCAAAAUCACUACAGAUGGUGACUACAGCCAUGAAAUUAAAAGAUGCUUACUCCUUGGAAGAAAAGUUAUGACCAACCUAGAUAGCAUAUUCAAAAGCAGAGACAUUACUUUCCCAACAAAGAUCUGUCUAGUCAAGGCUAUGGUUUUUCCAGUGGUCAUGUAUGGAUGUGAGAGUUGGACUGUGAAGAAAGCUGAGCACCGAAGAAUUGAUGCUUUUGAACUGUGGUGUUGGAGAAGACUCUUGAGGGUCCCUUGGACUGCAAGGAGAUCCAACCAGUCCAUUCUAAAGGAGAUCAGCCCUGGGAUUUCUUUGGAAAGAAUGAUGCUCAAGCUGAAACUCUAG